CCAGGUCCGGGCCCGAUUCAAAGUGCUGGUAUUAACAUUUAAAGCCCUAAACGGUUUGGGGCCAGGGCUGAAGGAACGCCUCCUCCUGUAUGUACCUGCCCGGACCCUAAGGUCAUCUUCAGGGGUCCUUCUCCACGAGCCCCUGCCAAAGGAAGUGAGGCAGGUGGCUACCAGGAGCAGGGCCUUCUCUGCUGUGGCACCUUGGCUGUGGAAUGAGCUCCCUAAGGAGAACAUAAGAACAUCAGAAGAGCCCUGAGGCUGGAUCAGACCAGGGGUCCAUCUAGUCCAGCACUCUGUUCACACAGAGGCCAAACAGCUGUUGACCAGGGAUCCACAAACAGCACACGGUGCAACGGCAUUCUCCCACCCAUGUUCCCCAGCAACUGGUGUACUUAGGCUUGCUACUUCUUCUCUCUUGCACAUCUCCCAUUCAUUCAAAGGGGAUUGUGCAGGAAAACUUCCCACGGAUUUUAAUCUUAUGGAUCCUACAUGCUGCCCAGGACCCCAUCUGUAACUAAUAUUAGGGAUUGUCUUCGAAUUGCACCUAUAAUCCUUGCAUUCUCAAUCGGAUAUAUCAUUUUUUUACGCUUUGAAAUGGAAAAUUCAAAUAUAUUUGCGGAGCUAGAGACAUAGAAUAUAUUAAAGUUGUUCUAAUUGCUA